UAUAUAUAUCUCACACACAUCAUGGAGUCAGCAACACCAUCCACCCAGUCAUCAGCACCAGAUCCGCCCACUCGUUCGUUUCUUCUACAGCGUUCUCUUUACUUUGAAAUGCAGCCUACACUCUUCACCAUCGAUCGAGUGGCGUUUAUGAUCUCUCUCCUCUCCGGCCGAGCUUUGCAGUGGGCACAAUCGUUGUGGCAGUCCAACACAAGUCACCAACUCCCUUUCUGAAUUUAUCAGCCAUUUCAAGGAAGUCUUCGGGCAGACUGUUUCAACCCUCUCCGUACACGAUCAACUCUUCAACCUUCAUCAAGCACCAGAGCCGAUGCAGACUGACUCCAACCGGACUGAUUCACUCUUGCGGACUGUCAGCGGAGGACUACUAACCACCUAUGCUUAUAUUGUGGGGGAGAAGGACACAUUAUAACCAACUGUCCCAUUCGACCACUACGCCCAGUGCACAAGCCCUCAUCGACUCUGACUCAGCGGGGAACUUCAUCUCUCACAACCUCCUUCAAAGGCUCAAUGUCAAGAGGAAACAAAAUGAAAUGAAAUGUUUGUUGUUUUGGGUUAAAAGAAAGGCAGAAAUAUUACUGAAUAAUGACACACAAGACAAUUUAAUUUAAACAUCUGGAUAGAUGGUACACAAAGAUGAUCAUAUCUGAAAGAAUAAAUAAGUGAAAGCAAAUUCAGACACCAGUGUCACCAGUAAAUGUUCAAUGAACAUCAGUGAAAAUAACCAAAUAUAUUUGGCUCUUUGUUAUGGUUAGCUUAUUUUACAUAAACCUCAGAGUCAAAUAUAUAAAAAAAAUCUUCCUUGUAACAACCUAAAUCCAGAUAAGAUACAAUCUUUUAAACACACAACCUUUGUUUACAGAGAUUACUAGCAGAGCUAUCAAUUAAUGAUCUUAACAUAAUUUAACAGGGCAUCAGGCACUGAGGAUUUACAAUCCCUGUUUUGAGUGAAGCAAGCGAUGGAAGACGAGUGAAGUAAACGAAUGGAAUGUUUUAAUUAUAUGGCUCUGAUUGGGUCGGUAAUGAAACCACAACAUAAUAUUAUGGCUGGCAGCAGGUCAAGGCACUGAUGACCUAAUCCUUGAGAGCUCUGACUUAUUUACUUUCCUCCUCUUGUUUCAGGAUUGAGGGAGAUGGAAAUGAGGACAGCAAUGGUGCGCCAGCCACAGCCACCAGUGUUGCGGAAGCCCACCCUUUAGCUAAGGCCACAGACGGCAUGUUUGAACAACAGACAGUUAUUCAGUCAAAUGAUGCAGGAGUCUACAAAGUAACACUGGAGAGUCUCAUUCAAAUUCAGCUUUCUAACAUUUGAUUCACUUGAAAUACUGAAGCUAUACUGCUCUUGAUAAAGGAUUCCUCAUCAAAACACACUCAGGCCUCUUGAUGACAGAUUAUAGCAUCACAGUUGACUUGAAGAAAAUGUCAGACUUGUGGUCCUGGUUCUUCUCAGCGACCACUCCAUAGAACGAAUCAAAGAUCAGAGAGGAAGAAAUUAGUAUGAAGGGAAGAUUUAAAAAAAAAAGAGGAAGGGUUCAGAAAUAGCCAGGGGAGUCUGAUGGAAAAAUCAACAGAAGUGGUCUACCAGAACUCCUCUAGAUGUACAAUUAGUGCCUGAACAAAGGUGAGAGGGUUAAGAAAUUCCAGUAAGAGGAAACUUGCUUUAAAUAUGGUAUUUAAAUAAUAAAAAAAAACUAUAAGAGAAUUAUAACUAAAAUGGUCACUCAUUGUUACAUGUUUGGUCAUUUUGAGUUACUUGUGUUUCCCCUGUGACCUGUUUUUUUUCUGUUUUCCGAUUAGUUCAUUUGGUUCCAUCUGUGUCUAGUUAAUUAUCUGAUUAGUUUCUUUGUUUGGUCCAGGCAUAUAAGUCCUCAGUUCUCCCUCAGUGUUUGUCGGUUCCCGACUGUGUUACGUGUGAAUUAUUCCUGUUUU